AAUAUAAUUUGACGCAAUGGGAACUCCUCAAUCUUUUGCAUAUUCCCACUAUAGUGAAAUUUGGCCAUUUUUUGUAUUGUUUGGAAACCACGAUUGGAUGCACAACAAUAUGAAAUACAUAGUUUUGAUUGAAUUUAAAACUUUUGCCUUCCGUGCUUACCAUCACUACUUGGAACAAGAAGGCGGCCAAACUUACUUGGAAGCUUGGUGGCCAUUUUCAAAUUACUCUGACCAUUGAAUUGUGACAUUUUAGAGUAUAUGAAUACUAAUUAUCUCUUAGGACCAAGAUUUACCAAGUAUUAGUGGAAAUUUCAUGGUGGAAUUUCCUGAUGCUACUCACAUAUUAACUAUAUCUUAGAAAGAUUCUACUUAGGCAUCUUAUUUGGAUGAACAAACUUAUUGUAUGUUAGCAUUAAUUGAGUGAUUGGCUAUUUGGAUAUCUAGACUUAUUGUCAUUUGUGUUGAAUUGAAAAGGGGGUGUUUGAAUUUUUAAUUCCCAUGGUAAAUCACCGUAAAUAAAUAAUCAUAAUUUACUUUUGUAUUUCCGGUACUGCUCCCAUUAUAGGCCUGUAUAGGACCAUUACGGCCCCGUAGUAGCCAGUUAUGGCCAUUACAGGCCUGUUACAGGCCAUUUUCUUCAAAUCAAUCGUUACGCCCCGUACCACAUUACAAGCACCACCAUUACUGGUUUUGUAAAAGCCGUUACAUUACUGUUUUUGAAUACCUUGGAUUUUAGGGACAUGAUCCAUCCACAAUGUGCUCCAAAUUUUGGAUGAUCUGGAUAGCUUCCCACAAGUGCCACAUUUGAGGAGGAUAAGUCCCCACCAUUUUCAAAACUUUGCAAACUGUCAUAGGAGUGUGCCCCUUGUGGAUCGUAGCGGCCAUUACAAUGCAUAAUGGGCAAUAUUUUGAACCAUGACUCGUGCAUGAAGCAUGAGGUUGGCCUAAUCGAAUGGUAAUAUAAGUCUACAAGAGAUUUCUGCUUUCCUUUCCAUAUUUCUUCAUAUUAAAUUAAUUCAAUUUGGAAUUUAUGUCUUUGUGUUCUCCCCUAUAGGUAACUGAAGGAGAAGAAGUCCUUAGAUUGCUUAUGGAGAUCAAUGUGAAGGACAAGAGUUGUGAUUUUCAUAAGGUCUACAUGUACUUAGUUUUGGCUGAAACGUGGCUCUUCUCAAGUCCUUUAUUAGAACAGAAACCGGUAGUUCAUGAAAUGUGGACUGUAUAUCUUCGAAAUUGCUCUUGCCAAAUUACAAGCACAGAUUGGCGGUCAUAUGCCUCAAAGGUCCGCAAUAAAGCUUCUUACCUUCUACAAAGCAUGACACAGAGAAGGAACUGUGAUUAAUAGCGUAUGUACUAUUAUUUCCAUUGACAUUUUCCCCAGUUGCAGUCUUCAAAUCUCUUGGUCCCUAGGCUUUGGAUCGCAUGGCUCAGGUAUGUUUGAGUGCAAACCACCUUUGUGGCUGGUGCAGGUACCAAGUGUACAUGAUACUCUUGGAGUUUAGGAAAUCGUGGAAAACAGAACCUGCAAUAAGUAGGAUUUUCUUCUCUCACUUCUUCCAUGCCAAGUCAGAUUGAGCCAAGAACAGGAGUGUCCCGUUCUUAUCUCAAAUGUGAUUUGACAGUAGAGCAUUGUCUGCCUUGGGAACUGAAGACACCCAAACAUACCCUUCUUGUCCAAAAUUGAGGCAGAAAAAAUGACAGAAUGUGUGUUAUUGACAAACGAUGUAUAAUUGCUAACUUGAUAGCUAUUCAAAACAGUGCAAGGACAUACAACAGCAUAUAGGGAGGAUACUUGAAUUUUUGGCGAGGAUGUGAACAGUACAUUAGCAACUUGAAGUUCAGACAGAAUACUCAAUGAGCUUCCUUUUAUUCUGUAAAUGUGCUGUAAGUACUCAGUGAAAUUUUUUGCAACUGCUUUAUCUUA